rnacentral:lncRNA from 1 species
AUUGCUGCAUCAAGUAUGUUCUUGGGGACCUUUUGGCAUUUACAGUUCCUCAUUAUUUCCUUCUUUCAGGGGAAAGUGUAAAAGGUGACUUGAAAAAUCACAGUAGGAAAACUCGCUUCUGUAAGCAGGAAGGCUCAGGAUGGUGAGUGAUCUUCAAAGGCAAGGACUGGGAAAAUGAACAGAUAUCAAGAUCCCAGAAGUAGCUGAUGCAAAAAUCACAUCUCCCAACCAAAGAAGACAAGAGACUCUCUACAUCAAUGGAUGACUGCCAUCAAGCACCCUGAGCUCCUCUUUGACCAGAACAGCAAAAUAAAGCAGGCUAAAGUCAUCA